UAGGGAAUCUUCCGCAAUGGACGCAAGCCUGACGGAGCAACGCCGCGUGAGUGAAGAAGGAUUUCGGUUCGUAAAACUCUGUUGUUAGAGAAGAACAGCGCAUAGAGUAACUGUUAUGCGUGUGACGGUAUCUAACCAGAAAGCCACGGCUAACUGCGUGCCAGCAGCCGCGGUAAUACGUAGGUGGCAAGCGUUGUCCGGAUUUAUUGGGCGUAAAGCGAGCGCAGGCGGUCAAUUAAGUCUGAUGUGAAAGCCCCCGGCUCAACCGGGGAGGGUCAUUGGAAACUGGUUGACUUGAGUGCAGAAGGGGAGGGUGGAAUUCCAUGUGUAGCGGUGAAAUGCGUAGAUAUAUGGAGGAACACCAGUGGCGAAGGCGACUCUCUGGUCUGUAACUGACGCGGAGGCUCGAAAGCGUGGGUAGCAAACAGG
rnacentral:rRNA from 1 species